rnacentral:lncRNA from 1 species
UGACAGGCAUCCUCUCAGUCCCUCAGGUCCUUUGCCUCCUCUGUUGGGUCACAGACAACAAAAGACAAUGGAAGCUGCAGAUUCACCCACCCAAGGGGCAUUUCCUUCAGCGCCACCAUGCCAGAGAGAGCGGCAACUUCCCACAGGUUGCAAAUGAGUCCGCGUGAUGGGGACGUGAGUUAAUUAGUGCACUUGGGUUUGAGAGCUAUAGAAUAAACAGUGGCUGGAGGAUGAUACACCAAAGAAGGAAAGAAACAAGUGAACUCAAAUCAAAGAAUUCACAUCAGCUUUUUUGAAAGGGGAAAACCAAAAACGUCAAUUGCAAGCCUCAACCCCCUUCUUCUUCCCCAAACUGUUUUUCCUUUUGGUUUAUUUCUGCAUCAGAGUCUACCUAGGUUUCAAAACCAAUUUUCCAUUUUCCUAGAACCAGCCAAAUAUGGAGUGUGUGCAAAAACAUGGUAGCUUAAAAGAAGAAGAAGUAGACAAUUAUCAAAGGGAAGAGGGAGGAAGGAAAGAGAAGGGAAAUAAAGAGAGAUGACACAAGGGAACUGGACCAGAUAAAGACAAAGCAAUGCACUUAACCCACCUGGAGAGCACAUCGGACCAGCAAGGCGCUCUCAGCCAAUCGCCUGGGUCUGCGGCUGGGAGGAGAGUCCGCAUGGGUUCAUUUGGCUGAGGAGUGUGUUUCAUAAACCUUACGGUGCAGCUAUGAAAGCUAUCAGGAUCUUCCCACGUUUCCUGUCAUUCCGUGGAGAUUGGCUGCUGGAGUGCUUGGUUGGGGGGGCGGUGGGGAGUGGAGGUGGUAGGGGAAGAGGAUGCUUGGGUUGUUGAGGGGAGACUGGCUCUGGUGGGAAGUGGAAUCACACAGGAAUUUAUUUUAAGUGCAUAAACAAAAUGAAAUGAGGAAAAAAAGAAAAAAAACCAGUGUAUUCCUUUUGGGUCAUGUGAGAGAGCCACUGGCAAAGAUGAGGGGGCAAUGAGAAAGGAAGAGAGAAAAAGAGAGAGAGAGGCAAAAAGCUUUCUAUGAUUUGGGGCACUGGUGAAGCACACUGAGGCAGCUGGAAGAUUAAAUUAAGUAUCAUAUCUGCUGACCCUAUUGCCAUGGUUACCGGACAGCGGAAAAUAUUCAUCAACCCGAGCCUUUUCAGAUGAAUGUGCUUGAAAAAAUACAAUAAAUAUAAAUAUAUAUGUAUAUCCUCCCCGCUCUGCUGUCUAAAUGCAGAACGUCAGCCAGUGCACCACCUGAUAGUGGAGAUAAACAAAUAAUAAUAACAAAAUGCUCGCCUCCCUGAGAAAGCUUACGUCACUUACAAGAAGCAGGGCGUGAACAGUAGGGCUGACCACUUGUUCACUUUCUCUUUAGCUGAUCUCUUUCCCCCUACCCCCUUCAAUGAUGAACCAUCCUGCCUGGUUUGAUUACAAAGUAAAGGGG